UUACCCCUUGUAUGGUGGUGGCUCCGGAAACGUCCACACGGUCACUAUGACGACCGAGGGCACCUUAGCAAGGGGUGAUU
rnacentral:ncRNA from 1 species